GUAGAAGAAUGGUCCCAGCACCUCAUGCAGGGACAGCACUUCUAUGGACACACUUGGUUCAGAGUUUCAUGCAAAAUUUCUUUGAACUAGAUUAGAAUUAGAUAAAUAGUGCUUUCUAUUCCUGAACAGCCAUUGUGCACCAAAUAUUUGUGAAGCAGAUUCAGCAGAAAGCAGUAACAAAGCUGUUGCUUGUGCUGGCAUAGUGAAAACUAUUUACAAUUUGCUUUCUUGCAUCCCAUGAAGCCAAAAUACCCUACAAUGACUCUCUGGUACAAGAUGGACAGACUGUGAUAAUGAACAGCAGAUGAGGAUAUUUGUGGACAAAGUGGAUCAAGAAUCAGUCAUCACGCAGCAAUUGGUUUCACACAUCGUUUCACUUUCAGUGAAUUCUAUUGUGUUCAGGCCAUGUUAGCGACAAAGAAUGUCAGUGCGUCUGAAAGAAAACCAUGCCAAUCCAACUUCAAUCCUGCUCAGCACAGCAAUACGUAUGUUUGAGAGAACCAAUUUUAUUUUAGAUAUGAAGUGUGUUUAUGCAUUAAUAUCAUAUUUUUGUAGUCACAUCUGCAAAAUUUAAAACAAAUUUGAGUGAAACAUCUCAGAAAAUUAAGCAUAUAAACAUCUGCAGGACUAAAAAAUGCUACAAAAACAUGUACUUAAUAUGAACAGGAUGAUUGAUAUGCAAAACAGUUUAAAUGUUAUAAAGUCCAGGUCCAGUUUUCUGGCUUCGUUCAGCUUUGAAAUAAACAAAAAUGUACAGGUGUGCUCUAGCUUUUCUCAGUGACACAGAAACUAGGAAUGGAUUCAGCAUUUAUCACCAUUUAUAGGUCUCCACCCAUAUGCAGUGAAUGGCUCAUACCUUGGGAACUUUGAAUGAUGUAGUUCAGGAUGUGGCUUCUGGAUUGGGAUCCAUUUUUGGCUACUAAUCUUCAUGAAAUAUAUGCAAAAUCCUUAUCAUUUUAAAGCUUGUCUUACCAAGAUUGCUGUGGUAGUGAGUGAGGUUCUCAUUCCAUAUGAACUUAUCCCAAAAAAUGUCAUUGACUGGAUCACAGGUUGGUGCUUAGCAGGAAGAAAGCCAGACUAUUUAAUGUUAAAUUCCUGUAUUGAUCUAAAAAACUUGAUUGUUCAGUUUGUUUCUUUCAACAUGUAAUUUGAUUGUAUAAGAAAGAGGUGCCUUUCGUAGAUAUAUGGGCCACAACAAAAGCACAAGCAGACAAAAAGUGUAUAUCAGAAGUGGAUUUUUUACAAGGAUUUUCAACAAACUGCUGUUUCUGUUUAUCUGAUUCCUAAAAAGUUUUAAAUAAGUUAAAAAUAUAUAUAUAUAUUUCUACUAUGUUGCUCAUGC
rnacentral:lncRNA from 1 species